UACGUAGGGGGCGAGCGUUGUCCGGAUUUACUGGGCGUAAAGAGCGCGUAGGCGGCCAGUUAAGUCGUGCGUGAAAUCUCUCGGCUCAACCGGGAGGGGUCGUGCGAAACUGGUUGGCUAGAGGCCGGAAGGGGGAAGUGGAAUUCCCGGUGUAGUGGUGGAAUGCGUAGAUAUCGGGAGGAACACCAGUGGCGAAGGCGGCUUCCUGGUCCGGUCCUGACGCUGAGGCGCGAAAGCGUGGGGAG
rnacentral:rRNA from 1 species